rnacentral:tRNA from 2 species
GCUCCUAUGGUGUAACGGAUAGCACACAACCUUGCGGAGGUUGUAAUCGGGGUUCGAAUCCUCGUGGGGGCA